rfam:Stegodyphus mimosarum contig111281, whole genome shotgun sequence.
GCCUUCGUGGUGCAAUGAUCAGCACACUCGGUGCGUAUUCGAGAGGCCCGAGGUUCGAGUCCUGGUGAGGGCA